rnacentral:rRNA from 1 species
GACGAACGCUGGCGGCGUGCCUAAUACAUGCAAGUAGAACGCUGAAGAGAGGAGCUUGCUCUUCUUGGAUGAGUUGCGAACGGGUGAGUAACGCGUAGGUAACCUGCCUUGUAGCGGGGGAUAACUAUUGGAAACGAUAGCUAAUACCGCAUAACAAUGGAUGACCCAUGUCAUUUAUUUGAAAGGGGCAAAUGCUCCACUACAAGAUGGACCUGCGUUGUAUUAGCUAGUAGGUGAGGUAACGGCUCACCUAGGCGACGAUACAUGGCCGACCUGAGAGGGUGAUCGGCCACACUGGGACUGAGACACGGCCCAGACUCCUACGGGAGGCAGCAGUAGGGAAUCUUCGGCAAUGGGGGCAACCCUGACCGAGCAACGCCGCGUGAGUGAAGAAGGUUUUCGGAUCGUAAAGCUCUGUUGUAAGUCAAGAACGAGUGUGAGAGUGGAAAGUUCACACUGUGACGGUAGCUUACCAGAAAGGGACGGCUAACUACGUG